rnacentral:rRNA from 1 species
AGCAGUGGGGAAUAUUGGACAAUGGAGGAGACUCUGAUCCAGCAAUUCUGUGUGCACGAAGACGGUUUUCGGAUUGUAAAGUGCUUUCAGCAGGGAAGAAGAAAGUGACGGUACCUGCAGAAGAAGCGACGGCUAAAUACGUGCCAGCAGCCGCGGUAAUACGUAUGUCGCAAGCGUUAUCCGGAAUUAUUGGGCAUAAAGGGCAUCUAGGCGGAUAUACAAGUCAGGGGUGAAAACUUAGGGCUCAACUCAAAGCUUGCCUUUGAAACUGUAUAUCUAGAGUGCUGGAGAGGUGGGCGGAACUACACGAGUAGAGGUGAAAUUCGUAGAUAUGUGUAGGAAUGCCGAUGAUGAAGAUAGUCCACUGGACAGCAACUGACGCUGAAGUGCGAAAGCUAGGGGAGCAAACAGGAUUAGAUACCCUGGUAGUCCUAGCUGUAAACGAUGAUUACUGGGUGUGGGCAUGAAGAGUGUCUGUGCCGAAGCUAAUGCGAUAAGUAAUCCGCCUGGGGAGUACGACCGCAAGGUUGAAACUCAAAGGAAUUGACGG